UACGUAGGGUGCAAGCGUUGUCCGGAAUUAUUGGGCGUAAAGAGCUCGUAGGCGGUUUGUCGCGUCUGCUGUGAAAACUCGGGGCUUAACUCCGGGCCUGCAGUGGGUACGGGCAGACUAGAGUGCGGUAGGGGAGACUGGAAUUCCUGGUGUAGCGGUGGAAUGCGCAGAUAUCAGGAAGAACACCAGCGGCGAAGGCGGCACUCUGGGCUGGAAUUGACGCUGAGGAGCGAAAGUGUGGGUAGCAAACAGG
rnacentral:rRNA from 1 species